GUGGGGAAUUUUGGACAAUGGGCGCAAGCCUGAUCCAGCAAUGCCGCGUGCAGGAAGAAGGCCUUCGGGUUGUAAACUGCUUUUGUACGGAACGAAACGGUUCUCUCUAAUACAGGGGGCUAAUGACGGUACCGUAAGAAUAAGCACCGGCUAACUACGUGCCAGCAGCCGCGGUAAUACGUAGGGUGCAAGCGUUAAUCGGAAUUACUGGGCGUAAAGCGUGCGCAGGCGGUUUUGUAAGACAGAGGUGAAAGCCCCGGGCUCAACCUGGGAACUGCCUUUGUGACUGCAAGGCUGGAGUGCGGCAGAGGGGGAUGGAAUUCCGCGUGUAGCAGUGAAAUGCGUAGAUAUGCGGAGGAACACCGAUGGCGAAGGCAAUCCCCUGGGCCUGCACUGACGCUCAUGCACGAAAGCGUGGGGAGCAAACAGGAUUAGAUACCCCUGUAGUCC
rnacentral:rRNA from 1 species